CAAUCUUCGGAUUGAGUGGCGGANGGGUGAGUAACGCGUGAGGAUCUGGCCCUAGGAGGGGGACAACCACUGGAAACGGUGGCUAAUACCCCAUAUGUCUACGGAUGAAAAGGUUUUUCCGCCUGGGGAUGAACUCGCGUCUGAUUAGCUAGUUGGUGGAGUAACGGUUCACCAAGGCGACGAUCAGUAGCUGGUCUGAGAGGAUGAUCAGCCACACUGGGACUGAGACACGGCCCAGACUCCUACGGGAGGCAGCAGUGGGGAAUUUUCCGCAAUGGGCGAAAGCCUGACGGAGCAAUACCGCGUGAGGGAUGAAGGCUCGUGGGUCGUAAACCUCUUUUCCCAAGGAAGAAGUUCUGACGGUACUUGGGGAAUAAGCAUCGGCUAAUUCCGUGCCAGCAGCCGCGGUAAUACGGGAGAUGCAAGCGUUAUCCGGAAUUAUUGGGCGUAAAGCGUCCGUAGGCGGUUUAUCAAGUCUGCUGUCAAAGACUGCAGCUCAACUGUGGGCCGGCAGUGGAAACUGAUGAACUGGAGUACGGUAGGGGUAGAGGGAAUUCCCAGUGUAGCGGUGAAAUGCGUAGAUAUUGGGAAGAACACCAGUGGCGAAGGCGCUCUACUGGGCCGUAACUGACGCUGAGGGACGAAAGCUAGGGGAGCGAAAGGGAUUAGAUACCCUGGUAGUCCCCU
rnacentral:rRNA from 1 species